rnacentral:rRNA from 1 species
UGGGGAAUAUUGGACAAUGGGGGCAACCCUGAUCCAGCAAUGCCGCGUGUGUGAAGAAGGUCUUCGGAUUGUAAAGCACUUUCGACGGGGACGAUGAUGACGGUACCCCGUAGAAGAAGCCCCGGCUAACUUCGUGCCAGCAGCCGCGGUAAUACGAAGGGGGACUAGCGUUGCUCGGAAUGACUGGGCGUAAAGGGCGUGUAGGCGGUUUACACAGUCAGAUGUGAAAUCCCCGGGCUUAACCUGGGAGCUGCAUUUGAUACGUGUAGACUAGAGUGUGAGAGAGGGUUUGUGGAAUUCCCAGUGUAGAGGUGA